AGCGAACGCUGGCGGCAGGCCUAACACAUGCAAGUCGAACGAACUCUUCGGAGUUAGUGGCGGACGGGUGAGUAACACGUGGGAACGUGCCUUUAGGUUCGGAAUAACUCAGGGAAACUUGUGCUAAUACCGAAUGUGCCCUUCGGGGGAAAGAUUUAUCGCCUUUAGAGCGGCCCGCGUCUGAUUAGCUUGUUGGUGGGGUAAUGGCCCACCAAGGCGACGAUCAGUAGCUGGUCUGAGAGGAUGACCAGCCACAUUGGGACUGAGACACGGCCCAAACUCCUACGGGAGGCAGCAGGGGGGAAUCUUGCGCAAUGGGCGAAAGCCUGACGCAGCCAUGCCGCGUGGAUGAUGAAGGUCUUAGGAUUGUAAAAUCCUUUCACCGGUGAAGAUAAUGACUGUAGCCGGAGAAGAAGCCCCGGCUAACUUCGUGCCAGCCGCCGCGUAAAAC
rnacentral:rRNA from 1 species